GGCACGGUGGCUUAGUGGUUAUCACGCUCGUCUCACACCUCCAGGGUUGGGAGUUCGAUUCCCGCUGUGGCC